rnacentral:rRNA from 1 species
GACGAACGCUGGCGGCGUGCUUAACACAUGCAAGUGGAGCGACGAACCAGGCUUCGGCCUGGGGCAAAGCCGCGAACGGGUGAGUAACACGUGGGUAACCUGCCCUGAUGACCGGGACAACCCGAGGAAACUCGGGCUAAUACCGGAUGUGCUCCCACCACACCAGUGGUGUGAGUAAAGGUAGCUUCGGCCUCCGCAUCGGGAUGGGCCCGCGGCGCAUUAGCUUGUUGGUGGGGUAAAGGCCACCAAGGCAACGAUGCGUAGCUGGUCUGAGAGGACGAUCAGCCACACUGGGACUGAGACACGGCCCAGACUCCUACGGGAGGCAGCAGUGGGGAAUCUUGCGCAAUGCGCGAAAGCGUGACGCAGCAACGCCGCGUGAGUGAAGAAGGCCUGGUUGUAAG